UUCUUAUCCAGAGAGGCGGAGGGACUGGCCCUGUGAAGCUUCGGCAACGGACAUAUGCACCGUGCCAAUUCCAGCAAGCGAUUAAGCUUGGAAGAUAAGAA
rnacentral:ncRNA from 1 species